UGUGUUUGACGAAACAGACUUUAAACAAAUGAAGGAUGUUGUACGCCUGAGGAGAAGUACACCCGAGAAGUGUUUUAUCUGACAUAAUUCGAAACUUUACCUUUUUAUUAUCGCAAAAACUGUUUACCUUCAAUUACGCUAUAACGAAGGUAAUGGACACCUGAUACGCGUUACAACAAAAUGUCAUCCCUCAGGCUUAUACGCUUUGUUCGUGCUUGCACGUGCAUGCCGCAAGACAUGUAAUCACGUGACCACGUAGCAACAGUAAGGAGGUUGUCUCUACUAACUCAAUGAACAGACAGAAUGAUGAGGGCGCAAGUUGUAGAGGAUGAUAAUGAUGAUGAUGGAAAUGUUCUGCGGGAGAGAAUACAGAUAUUUUCCUAUUUUACCCCAAAGUAAAGCGGUCCGAAUCUACAAGAGGUCAUCCGACGAACAAACUCGCUCCGACAUCAUUACAAAGGAGGUACAGAAAGUCCCAAGACACCCGCGGAUACCAAGGGAAUAUCUGAUAAGCUGCCUACCCUGUCUACAGCUUCUGUUGUGUCCGCUGAAGAGACUGUCAGCCGUGACAAAACUCACUUCACACUGAACUUCAAUUUCUAAUGUAUUUGAGAAAAAUAUGUCAACAGUUUGUGUAUAAAGAAUGAUUCGUGA